rnacentral:rRNA from 1 species
AAACUAACAAGGAUUCCCCUAGUAGCGGCGAGCGAAGCGGGAAGAGCUCAAAUUUAUAAUCUGGCACCUUCGGUGUCCGAGUUGUAAUCUCUAGAAGUGUUUUCCGCGUUGGACCGCACACAAGUCUGUUGGAAUACAGCGGCAUAGUGGUGAAACCCCCGUAUAUGGUGCGGACGCCCAGCGCUUUGUGAUACACUUUCAAUGAGUCGAGUUGUUUGGGAAUGCAGCUCAAAUUGGGUGGUAAAUUCCAUCUAAAGCUAAAUAUUGGCGAGAGACCGAUAGCGAACAAGUACCGUGAGGGAAAGAUGAAAAGCACUUUGGAAAGAGAGUUAACAGUACGUGAAAUUGUUGGAAGGGAAACGCUUGAAGUCAGACUUGCUUGCCGGAGCUUGCUUCGGUUUGCAGGCCAGCAUCAGUUUUCCGGGGUGGAUAAUGACGGUUUGAAGGUAGCAGUCUCGGCUGUGUUAUAGCUUUCCGUUGGAUACAUCCUGGGGGACUGAGGAACGCAGCGUGCUUUUUGCGAAAGACUCGUCUUUUUCACGC